CUACUACUCCCUCCAUUCCGAAUUACUCGUCGCAGAAAUGGAUGUAUCUAUAUGUAUUUUAGUUCUAGAUACAUCCAUUUCUGCGACGAGUAAUUUGAAACGGAGGGAGUAGCUU
rnacentral:pre_miRNA from 1 species